rnacentral:rRNA from 1 species
GACGAACGCUGGCGGCGUGCUUAACACAUGCAAGUCGAACGAAGAGCGAUGGAAGCUUGCUUCUAUCAAUCUUAGUGGCGAACGGGUGAGUAACGCGUAAUCAACCUGCCCUUCAGAGGGGGACAACAGUUGGAAACGACUGCUAAUACCGCAUACGAUCUAAUCUCGGCAUCGAGGAUAGAUGAAAGGUGGCCUCUACAUGUAAGCUAUCACUGAAGGAGGGGAUUGCGUCUGAUUAGCUAGUUGGAGGGGUAACGGCCCACCAAGGCGAUGAUCAGUAGCCGGUCUGAGAGGAUGAACGGCCACAUUGGGACUGAGACACGGCCCAGACUCCUACGGGAGGCAGCAGUGGGGAAUCUUCCGCAAUGGACGAAAGUCUGACGGAGCAACGCCGCGUGAGUGAUGACGGCCUUCGGGUUGUAAAGCUCUGUUAAUCGGGACGAAAGGCCUUCUCGCGAAUAGUGAGAAGGAUUGACGGUACCGGAAUAGAAAGCCACGGCUAACUACGUG